rnacentral:rRNA from 1 species
UACGGAGGAUGCGAGCGUUAUCCAGAUUUAUUGGGUUUAAAGGGUGCGUAGGCGGACUGUCAAGUCAGCGGUAAAAUUGAGAGGCUCAACCUCUUCCCGCCGUUGAAACUGGUGGUCUUGAGUGGAUGAGAAGUACGCGGAAUGCGUGGUGUAGCGGUGAAAUGCAUAGAUAUCACGCAGAACUCCGAUUGCGAAGGCAGCGUACCGGCAUCCAACUGACGCUGAGGCACGAAAGCGUGGGGAUCAAACAGG